UACGUAGGGUGCAAGCGUUGUCCGGAAUUAUUGGGCGUAAAGAGCUCGUAGGCGGUGUGUCGCGUCGGCCGUGAAAACCUGCAGCUUAACUGUGGGCUUGCGGUCGAUACGGGCAUCACUGGAGUUCGGCAGGGGAGACUGGAAUUCCUGGUGUAGCGGUGAAAUGCGCAGAUAUCAGGAGGAACACCGGUGGCGAAGGCGGGUCUCUGGGCCGAUACUGACGCUGAGGCGCGAAAGCGUGGGGAGCAAACAGG
rnacentral:rRNA from 1 species